GACGAACGCUGGCGGCGUGCUUAACACAUGCAAGUCGAACGGAAAGGCCCUGCUUUUGUGGGGUGCUCGAGUGGCGAACGGGUGAGUAACACGUGAGUAACCUGCCCUUGACUUUGGGAUAACUUCAGGAAACUGGGGCUAAUACCGGAUAGGAGCUCCUGCUGCAUGGUGGGGGUUGGAAAGUUUCGGCGGUUGGGGAUGGACUCGCGGCUUAUCAGCUUGUUGGUGGGGUAGUGGCUUACCAAGGCUUUGACGGGUAGCCGGCCUGAGAGGGUGACCGGCCACAUUGGGACUGAGCUACGGCCCAGACUCCUACGGGAGGCAGCAGUGGGGAAUAUUGCACAAUGGGCGGAAGCCUGAUGCAGCCACGCCGCGUGCGGGAUGACGGCCUUCGGGUUGUAACCCGCUUUCGCCUGUGACGAAGCGUGAGUGACGGUAAUGGGUAAAGAAGCACCGGCUAACUACGUG
rnacentral:rRNA from 1 species